GCAGUGGGGAAUUUUGGACAAUGGGCGCAAGCCUGAUCCAGCAAUGCCGCGUGAGUGAAGAAGGCCUUCGGGUUGUAAAGCUCUUUUGUCAGGGAAGAAACGGAUUUUUCUAAUACAGAGAUCUAAUGACGGUACCUGAAGAAUAAGCACCGGCUAACUACGUGCCAGCAGCCGCGGUAAUACGUAGGGUGCAAGCGUUAAUCGGAAUUACUGGGCGUAAAGCGUGCGCAGGCGGUUUUGUAAGACUGUCGUGAAAUCCCCGGGCUCAACCUGGGAAUGGCGAUGGUGACUGCAAGGCUAGAGUUUGGCAGAGGGGGGUAGAAUUCCACGUGUAGCAGUGAAAUGCGUAGAUAUGUGGAGGAACACCGAUGGCGAAGGCAGCCCCCUGGGUCAAAACUGACGCUCAUGCACGAAAGCGUGGGGAGCAAACAGGAUUAGA
rnacentral:rRNA from 1 species